GAAAUCAGCUCAGAGAUGGAGAAUAAGUUGCCUUUGGUCACCCAUCCUGGAGAAGGGGUCACAACCUCGAGCUGGCUGACUCCAGAGACCUGGUCUUCCCACUAGAGCAGUCAGCCCAUCAUUACUCGUAUUUCUCUAGGAAGAAGUGCACUCAUCGGAGAGGAUCAAUUACUCCCUCCCGAGCACCAGUCUGGAGAAAGCUCUGAGCAACAUUCAUCACUGGCUCUGAACUGUGCCUAAUAUUUCAGACUGUUUAGGAGCUCAUGCAAAUGGUUAUCUUUAAAGAUGUAUCAAAUUAGAGGAAAAACGGAUAAUACCCUGGAAUUAAAAUUCAUUUACCCUCAGUAAAAUUCCAUCAGUUCAAUCAGUGAGUAUUUCCUUUUGCUAAUUAACUCUUCAGUUAUGUAGCUCAUGCUAUCCAGUUCCCACACAGAAUAACUACAAUCCUAGAUUCCACUGCUUGC
rnacentral:lncRNA from 1 species